rnacentral:tRNA from 1 species
GGAGGAGUGCCUGAGUGGUUGAAAGGGCCGCUCUCGAAAAGCGGUAUACCGGCAACGGUAUCGUGAGUUCAAAUCUCACCUCCUCCG